AUUGAACGCUAGCGGGAUGCCUUACACAUGCAAGUCGAACGGCAGCGCGGACUUCGGUCUGGCGGCGAGUGGCGAACGGGUGAGUAAUGUAUCGGAACGUGCCUAGUAGCGGGGGAUAACUACUCGAAAGAGUAGCUAAUACCGCAUACGCCCUACGGGGAAAGGGGGGGAUCGCAAGACCUCUCACUAUUAGAGCGGCCGAUAUCGGAUUAGGUAGUUGGUAGGGUAAAAGCCUACCAAGCCGACGAUCUGUAGCUGGUCUGAGAGGACGACCAGCCACACUGGGACUGAGACACGGCCCAGACUCCUACGGGAGGCAGCAGUGGGGAAUUUUGGACAAUGGGCGCAAGCCUGAUCCAGCAAUGCCGCGUGCAGGAUGAAGGCCUUCGGGUUGUAAACUGCUUUUGUACGGAGCGAAAAGGUCUCUUCUAAUACAGGAGGCCCAUGACGGUACCGUAAGAAUAAGCACCGGCUAACUACGUG
rnacentral:rRNA from 1 species